UACGAAGGGGGCUAGCGUUGUUCGGAAUCACUGGGCGUAAAGGGCGCGUAGGCGGCUUUGUAAGUCGGGGGUGAAAGCCUGUGGCUCAACCACAGAAUUGCCUUCGAUACUGCAUGGCUUGAGACCGGAAGAGGUUAGUGGAACUGCGAGUGUAGAGGUGAAAUUCGUAGAUAUUCGCAAGAACACCAGUGGCGAAGGCGGCUUACUGGUCCGGUUCUGACGCUGAGGCGCGAAAGCGUGGGGAGCAAACAGG
rnacentral:rRNA from 1 species